rnacentral:rRNA from 1 species
AGAGUUUGAUCCUGGCUCAGAUUGAACGCUGGCGGCAGGCUUAACACAUGCAAGUCGAACGAUGACUCUCUAGCUUGCUAGAGAAGAUUAGUGGCGGACGGGUGAGUAACAUUUAGGAAUCUGCCUAGUAGUGGGGGAUAGCUCGGGGAAACUCGAAUUAAUACCGCAUACGACCUACGGGUGAAAGGGGGCGCAAGCUCUUGCUAUUAGAUGAGCCUAAAUCAGAUUAGCUAGUUGGUGGGGUAAAGGCCCACCAAGGCGACGAUCUGUAACUGGUCUGAGAGGAUGAUCAGUCACACCGGAACUGAGACACGGUCCGGACUCCUACGGGAGGCAGCAGUGGGGAAUAUUGGACAAUGGGGGCAACCCUGAUCCAGCCAUGCCGCGUGUGUGAAGAAGGCCUUUUGGUUGUAAAGCACUUUAAGCAGGGAGGAGAGGCUAAUGGUUAAUACCCAUUAGAUUAGACGUUACCUGCAGAAUAAGCACCGGCUAACUCUGUGCCAGCAGCCGCGGUAAUACAGAGGGUGCGAGCGUUAAUCGGAAUUACUGGGCGUAAAGCGAGUGUAGGUGGCUCAUUAAGUCACAUGUGAAAUCCCCGGGCUUAACCUGGGAACUGCAUGUGAUACUGGUGGUGCUAGAAUAUGUGAGAGGGAAGUAGAAUUCCAGGUGUAGCGGUGAAAUGCGUAGAGAUCUGGAGGAAUACCGAUGGCGAAGGCAGCUUCCUGGCAUAAUAUUGACACUGAGAUUCGAAAGCGUGGGUAGCAAACAGGAUUAGAUACCCUGGUAGUCCACGCCGUAAACGAUGUCUACUAGCCGUUGGGGUCCUUGAGACUUUAGUGGCGCAGUUAACGCGAUAAGUAGACCGCCUGGGGAGUACGGCCGCAAGGUUAAAACUCAAAUGAAUUGACGGGGGCCCGCACAAGCGGUGGAGCAUGUGGUUUAAUUCGAUGCAACGCGAAGAACCUUACCUGGUCUUGACAUAGUGAGAAUCCUGCAGAGAUGCGGGAGUGCCUUCGGGAAUUCACAUACAGGUGCUGCAUGGCUGUCGUCAGCUCGUGUCGUGAGAUGUUGGGUUAAGUCCCGCAACGAGCGCAACCCUUUUCCUUAUUUGCCAGCGGGUUAAGCCGGGAACUUUAAGGAUACUGCCAGUGACAAACUGGAGGAAGGCGGGGACGACGUCAAGUCAUCAUGGCCCUUACGACCAGGGCUACACACGUGCUACAAUGGUAGGUACAGAGGGUUGCUACACAGCGAUGUGAUGCUAAUCUCAAAAAGCCUAUCGUAGUCCGGAUUGGAGUCUGCAACUCGACUCCAUGAAGUCGGAAUCGCUAGUAAUCGCAGAUCAGAAUGCUGCGGUGAAUACGUUCCCGGGCCUUGUACACACCGCCCGUCACACCAUGGGAGUCUAUUGCACCAGAAGUAGGUAGCCUAACGAAAGAGGGCGCUUACCACGGUGUGGUCGAUGACUGGGGUGAAGUCGUAACAAGGUA